AGAAGAUGCAGAAAAAGAAUGAAUAGGAGUGGAAACCAAGGUGAGGGACAACCGAGAUUCAAGAGUCCAAAGAAAGAAGCAAGUGGGAUCAGGAUUCAUCAUAACAUCUUCUUUGUCCAACCCCAUUGCCCUACUAUAUCUACCAGGUGGGUCAUCUCUGCCGGAGGUUAUUGUCAUAUGUUUGGCUCCAUGGCUGCUGCUUGAUUUUGUUGCUUCUGAUAAGGAUUAGCGUACAUUUUCAUCGUAUAUAUAUAUGAACUUAAUAAUUAAAUCAAUGUCGAAUAUUAUGUGUUUAUAUGUUACUGUUA